AUUUGUCUGCUUGUUUGAUGGGGUUCGUUACUGUUUUCUGGAAGUACUGUGGGAAUGUAUCAAAAUGGUUCACUGAUUUCUCUUCUUGCAUCAGAUUUUGGGCUCUGUGUUCUGUUUGGUUAUGGGGGAUAUCAAUAGAGGAAGAAUUAGUAUUAUUGUUCUUCUGAAUUGUUUUGAUUCAGUAAAGAUAAUUACUUUAUGACAUUUUGAUUAUAAAUAGUAUCUCUUUGGUAUACUGUUGAACUUCUUAAGUUAGUUUCAUGGAUACUACACUAGUUUCUCGUUUUUUUUUCCCAAUCGAUUUGGUUAAAUUCUUACUAACUAGUAGCUACAUAGUUCCUUAUUGGAGUUUAGACAAUUUUGAUCAUGUAAAGUUUGGAUUUUUCUGGUUUAUGUUUAUUGUUGCACUGUGAUUUGAAUCCACUCAUGUUUUUUUUUUAAUUCUUGUUUGUUAAAUAGCUUUGAUGUGACUUCUGUUUGUGGUGGUGAUUGUUUGUUGUGCUCUCUUUAUUGCUUUUGUUUGAUGUUCAUUUCUUCACUUUUUGCUGCCAAGUUUUAAUUUAGUGUUUUCGUUCUUGUGUGUUUAUAGAGGCAUGUCGUCUGAUACGGCUAAGGAAAAUGCAUCUGUUGUCGAUUCAUCUUUGACUGA
rnacentral:lncRNA from 1 species